rnacentral:rRNA from 1 species
GUGGGGAAUAUUGGGCAAUGGGGGCAACCCUGACCCAGCAACGCCGCGUGAGGGAAGAAGGUUUUCGGAUUGUAAACCUCUGUCCUAUGGGAAGAAGGAAGUGACGGUACCAUAGGAGGAAGCCCCGGCUAACUACGUGCCAGCAGCCGCGGUAAUACGUAGGGGGCGAGCGUUGUCCGGAAUUACUGGGCGUAAAGGGUGCGCAGGUGGCCUGACAAGUCAGAUGUGAAAUACCGAUGCUUAACGUCGGGGCUGCAUUUGAAACUAUGAGGCUGGAGUGCAGGAGAGGGAAGCGGGAUUCCUAGUGUAGCGGUGAAAUGCAUAGAUAUUAGGAGGAACACCAGUGGCGAAGGCGGCUUUCUGGACUGUAACUGACACUGAGGCACGAAAGCGUGGGGAGCAAACAGGAUUAGAAACCCCGGUAGUCC